AACACUGUUAACCUGCGGUACCUGCGGAGGGAUCAUUACAAAAUGAAAAGGCGCGGCCUCACCCUUUGGAGAGGGUUGGGCCAAGCCGUUUCUCCAUGUGAAAUUGUUAUUUUUCCGUGGGGCAUGAGCUCCGCCUGUACACAUUUAUUUUGAAACUCUUAAAACUUUCAACAAUGGAUCU
rnacentral:misc_RNA from 1 species